UACGGAGGGGGCUAGCGUUAUUCGGAAUUACUGGGCGUAAAGCGCACGUAGGCGGAUUAGAAAGUCAGAGGUGAAAUCCCAGGGCUCAACCUUGGAACUGCCUUUGAAACUCCUAGUCUUGAGGUCGAGAGAGGUGAGUGGAAUUCCGAGUGUAGAGGUGAAAUUCGUAGAUAUUCGGAGGAACACCAGUGGCGAAGGCGGCUCACUGGCUCGAUACUGACGCUGAGGUGCGAAAGCGUGGGGAGCAAACAGG
rnacentral:rRNA from 1 species